CCCUUAGAUGUUCGGGGCCGCACGCACGCUACACUGAAGGAAUCAGCACGUCUUUCUCCUUGUCCGAAAGGACUGGGUAACCCGCUGAACCUCCUUCGUGCUAGGGAUUGGGGCUUGUAAUUCUUCCCCAUGAACGAGGAAUUCCCAGUAAGCGCGAGUCAUAAGCUCGCGUUGAUUACGUCCCUGCCCUUUGUACACACCGCCCGUCGCUACUACCGAUUGGAUGGUUUAGUGAGAUCCUCGGAUUGGUCCCGGCGCGGCCUCUGGUCGUGCCGGAGUGCCGAAAAGAAUGUCGAACUUGAUCAUCUAGAGGAAGUAAAAGUCGUAACA
rnacentral:rRNA from 1 species